CACAUGCAAGUCGAGCGGAGACGGUAACAUUGACUCUUCGGAUGAUUUGUUGGACGUCGAGCGGCGGACGGGUGAGUAAUGCCUGGGAAAUUGCCCUGAUGUGGGGGAUAACCAUUGGAAACGAUGGCUAAUACCGCAUAAUAGCUUCGGCUCAAAGAGGGGGACCUUCGGGCCUCUCGCGUCAGGAUAUGCCCAGGUGGGAUUAGCUAGUUGGUGAGGUAAGGGCUCACCAAGGCAACGAUCCCUAGCUGGUCUGAGAGGAUGAUCAGCCACACUGGAACUGAGACACGGUCCAGACUCCUACGGGAGGCAGCAGUGGGGAAUAUUGCACAAUGGGCGCAAGCCUGAUGCAGCCAUGCCGCGUGUAUGAAGAAGGCCUUCGGGUUGUAAAGUACUUUCAGCAGUGAGGAAGGUUCAUGCGUUAAUAGCGUAUGGAUUUGACGUUAGCUGCAGAAGAAGCACCGGCUAACUCCGUG
rnacentral:rRNA from 1 species